rnacentral:rRNA from 1 species
AGAGUUUGAUCAUGGCUCAGAUUGAACGCUGGCGGCAGGCUUAACACAUGCAAGUCGAGCGGUAGCACAGGGGAGCUUGCUCCCUGGGUGACGAGCGGCGGACGGGUGAGUAAUGUCUGGGAAACUGCCUGAUGGAGGGGGAUAACUACUGGAAACGGUAGCUAAUACCGCAUAACGUCGCAAGACCAAAGAGGGGGACCUUCGGGCCUCUUGCCAUCAGAUGUGCCCAGAUGGGAUUAGCUAGUAGGUGGGGUAAUGGCUCACCUAGGCGACGAUCCCUAGCUGGUCUGAGAGGAUGACCAGCCACACUGGAACUGAGACACGGUCCAGACUCCUACGGGAGGCAGCAGUGGGGAAUAUUGCACAAUGGGCGCAAGCCUGAUGCAGCCAUGCCGCGUGUGUGAAGAAGGCCUUCGGGUUGUAAAGCACUUUCAGCGAGGAGGAAGGUGGUGAGCUUAAUACGUUCAUCAAUUGACGUUACUCGCAGAAGAAGCACCGGCUAACUCCGUGCCAGCAGCCGCGGUAACACGGAGGGUGCAAGCGUUAAUCGGAAUUACUGGGCGUAAAGCGCACGCAGGCGGUUUGUUAAGUCAGAUGUGAAAUCCCCGGGCUCAACCUGGGAACUGCAUUUGAAACUGGCAAGCUAGAGUCUCGUAGAGGGGGGUAGAAUUCCAGGUGUAGCGGUGAAAUGCGUAGAGAUCUGGAGGAAUACCGGUGGCGAAGGCGGCCCCCUGGACGAAGACUGACGCUCAGGUGCGAAAGCGUGGGGAGCAAACAGGAUUAGAUACCCUGGUAGUCCACGCUGUAAACGAUGUCGAUUUGGAGGUUGUGCCCUUGAGGCGUGGCUUCCGGAGCUAACGCGUUAAAUCGACCGCCUGGGGAGUACGGCCGCAAGGUUAAAACUCAAAUGAAUUGACGGGGGCCCGCACAAGCGGUGGAGCAUGUGGUUUAAUUCGAUGCAACGCGAAGAACCUUACCUACUCUUGACGUCCAGAGAACUUUCCAGAGAUGGAUUGGUGCCUUCGGGAACUCUGAGACAGGUGCUGCAUGGCUGUCGUCAGCUCGUGUUGUGAAAUGUUGGGUUAAGUCCCGCAACGAGCGCAACCCUUAUCCUUUGUUGCCAGCGGUUCGGCCGGGAACUCAAAGGAGACUGCCAGUGAUAAACUGGAGGAAGGUGGGGAUGACGUCAAGUCAUCAUGGCCCUUACGAGUAGGGCUACACACGUACUACAAUGGCGUAUACAAAGAGAAGCGACCUCGCGAGAGCAAGCGGACCUCAUAAAGUACGUCGUAGUCCGGAUUGGAGUCUGCAACUCGACUUCAUGAAGUCGGAAUCGCUAGUAAUCGUAGAUCAGAAUGCUACGGUGAAUACGUUCCCGGGCCUUGUACACACCGCCCGUCACACCAUGGGAGUGGGUUGCAAAAGAAGUAGGUAGCUUAACCUUCGGGAGGGCGCUUACCACUUUGUGAUUCAUGACUGGGGUGAAGUCGUAACAAGGUAACCGU